rnacentral:ncRNA from 1 species
AUAAAAACUUUGACUGAGAAAGAGUAAGAAUGACUAUUAUUUACAGAGAGCUACCGGUUGGUGAGAGGUGCAAAGAAAAGCAUUCUGAAUACAUCUCAAGAGUUGCACAUCAAAAGGGGUAAUCCCAAGUAGACUGUGUCGGUAUCCUGCACCCGUUAUAGUGCUAAAGUAUCGUGUAAAUUUAUGCACCGUACUUGAAAAGGUUGAUAUUGUAAAGUAUCAAUAAAUUAAGGUGGUAACACGGGGAAUAUCCCGUCCUUUGA